rnacentral:lncRNA from 1 species
AACCAGAUCGGUUACAUGAUCAAAGAUAUGGGUGGUCAAACUAGGGUUGACCACCAGCCUUAUGAGUUUCUGGGAAAAACCCAGAUUCAUGAAGAACAGCUUCUCUGGCAUAGUUUGACCAGAUUAUAUCUUCUUGUUGUGUUGUUGUUUUAGUGAUGUUUUGUAAUAGAUCUAUUUAGCUACAUGUGGUAUACAACCUGGAACUUUUAGAUCACAAAAAGGAUGCACGAUCAUCAU